GAUGAACGCUAGCGGCAGGCUUAAUACAUGCAAGUCGAACGGUAAGGUCUCUUCGGAGAUACACGAGUGGCGCACGGGUGCGUAACGCGUAUGCAACCUACCUUUAACUGGGAAAUAGCCCCGAGAAAUCGGGAUUAAUGUACCAUAUUAUUCUCUGAUAGCAUUAUCGGGGAAUGAAAGCUACGGCGGUUAUUGAUGGGCAUGCGUGACAUUAGCAAGUUGGUGAGGUAACGGCUCACCCAGGCAACGAUGUCUAGGGGUCCUGAGAGGGUUAACCCCCACACUGGUACUGAGACACGGACCAGACUCCUACGGGAGGCAGCAGUAAGGAAUAUUGGGCAAUGGACGCAAGUCUGACCCAGCCAUGCCGCGUGAAGGAUGACUGUCCUAUGGAUUGUAAACUUCUUUUAUGCAGGAAAAAUAGCCUGGUCGUGAACCGGGUUUGAUGGUACUGUAUGAAUAAGCAUCGGCUAACUCCGUGCCAGCCGCCGCGGUAA
rnacentral:rRNA from 1 species